CUUGAAGGCGUUAGGAGACAAGUUACGGUCUGAGCUGGUGUGCGUACCCGGGGGAGACCUAGUCAUGUUCCCAGCCCACUGGACCACUCUCCCUUGGUGGUGUGAUACCUUCUGCAGCAGAAUGACUGAAUGACCAGAGGUUCCCGUCACUUUGAAACCCUCAGCCAUUUUCAAGAUGUCUCCAAGGCACAGAAAACUCGGGGCAAUAAAACCUCAGUUCAACUAAGAUCUGCUCUUCAGUUUUGCUCCAGUUGGAUCACUGACUAAGACAAUUCCUCCUUUUCUCCAUAAGAACCGCUGUUAUUGUUGUGAGGUUAGGUCUUGUAGCCCCACUGGCCUUGAACUCUCUGUGUGUGCUAUGCUCAUGGAGGUCAGAAGAGGGUGUUGGAUCUUCAGGAAUUAAGAGUUACAGGUUGUGAGCCACCAGGGCUUGCUGGCACCUGAACCCUGGCCCUCUGCAGGAUUAGUGCCUGGUUUAUAACUCCUGACAUUUAACAGGCAAGUGUCAUCCUCCAACCCACACAAACCUGGAGCGCUCCACCUGCUGCUUCUGCCUUCUGCAUGCAGGUGUCAUAGGCAUGUAUCACCUCUGAUAAGACAGUUCUAAUACCUGAAAUGCAACUCCAACCUGUGGUUUCAUUUUUAGUGUAUUUGCUAAAGUCUUGACCAGUCUGGUUCAGUGGAUUCAGUAAAAUCACCUUCCAUGCUAGGCAUUGUUAGUUUUGUCAAAGAGUAAUUUCCUUUGCUUACUUAUUCAGGCUUUAUAUAUUGCUGUGACACACCUCUAAUAAGUUAAAGUGGAAAAUUGACCGUAAAACUGUUUAAUUAAAGGUGUCACCUCAGCCCCUAACAA